GAUGAACGCUGGCGGCGUGCCUAAUACAUGCAAGUCGAGCGAACGGACGAGAAGCUUGCUUUUCUGAUGUUAGCGGCGGACGGGUGAGUAACACGUGGAUAACCUACCUAUAAGACUGGGAUAACUUCGGGAAACCGGAGCUAAUACCGGAUAAUAUUUUGAACCGCAUGGUUCAAAAGUGAAAGACGGUCUUGCUGUCACUUAUAGAUGGAUCCGCGCUGCAUUAGCUAGUUGGUAAGGUAACGGCUUACCAAGGCAACGAUGCAUAGCCGACCUGGGAGGGUGAGCGGCCACACUGGAACUGAGACACGGUCCAGACGCCUACGGGAGGCAGCAGUAGGGAAUCUUCCGCAAUGGGCGAAAGCCUGACGGAGCAACGCCGCGUGAGUGAUGAAGGUCUUCGGAUCGUAAAACUCUGUUAUUAGGGAAGAACAGAUGUGUAAGUAACGGUGCACAUCUUGACGGUACCUAAUCAGAAAGCCACGGCUAACUACGUG
rnacentral:rRNA from 1 species